rnacentral:lncRNA from 1 species
UUCCUGAGGUUUUUUUUUUUUUGAUAUAUAGAACAAUUGAUAGGCUUUCAAAGAUUCAGAUACAAUGAUAUGAAUUAAGAAAAUUUUAAUGUUGAAAAACAUAGAUAAAUAUUACUGAAGAUGAAUGGAAAAAUGAUCUGGGCCACACUGGAAACAAGUGGGAAAGCAAUAAUUAAUCUAUGGUAACUCACAAACAAAUAAACUGUUGUGCAUAACUGGACUUGAUUUGCACUUGCAAAUAUUACUGACAUGGAAGUCAACAUGUGCCUUAGCCUUGAUAAUAUCCUUUGACAAAUAAACCAAGCUGCUCACUAAUAGCUCAAGCUCCACUUCGAUUCUUAUCCCAUCAAGCUUAGCUCAAAAGUUGAUUUGAUUUAAACUUGUCUAACCUUGCUAAAGCUCGACUUUCAUUGUUAUGGCAUGGCAUGGUACGCCCAUUGAUCCACUUUUUUUGGAUAAAGACAUGGGUCCAAUAGGUUGGAGACCCUAAUGACUUUGAUUUAGCUCAAAAGACAUGGCUUGUACGUUAACCCUCCCAACACCUCACAUUGGCGGGAGCACUGGGUACGCCCUUUUUUACAUGAGUCCAAUAGGUUGGAGACCAAGUUGUUUGUCUAUCAUGCAAUAUACAGUAUCUGAAUGCAUGAGCCCCAGUUACUAGUAAGUAUGAAAUCAUAUAUAAAAUUCUGUGUUCCCAAAACAAUUCAGUUCCAAUAAGGGACUAGUCUUGAUAUAAUAAUAUGGUCAUGAUUAAGCGCAACAAGCACACUAGCCUGGUAACUCAAUAAGAAUGAGCCUUAAACCAUGUGAUCCUAAAUUCUUAAUCCAAAUUACCAAAGCUAGUCCAAACUUUAUACACCAUCUAGUGUCAAGUUAUAGAGGAUAUCACAAUCUCAAAACAAAAUACACCCUUGUCAAGGACUGACACAUAUCUCAGAAUCUUUUAGCUAUAGUUUGUAUAUGAGGUGUAGGUAGUGGCCUAUGCUGUGUCGUGCAUUUUAAACCAUCCAUAAGUAGUAACUUUCUUUUUUAUCUACUGCCUACUCAUAUAUCCAUGACACAAGGUCUACUCCAAUACCAACGACCACCAUCCAACUCGUUAGGCCCACGAGCACAGUACGUCUAACAAAAGACUCUAGAUCACAUGACCCAAAAUGUGCCAAUUAAGCCUUAUUAUACUAAACCAACCACUAUCAACUAUUAAUGUGGGACUAAUAAAAAAUGACAUAACUGGAUUGAUAUAUAAAUAUAUCCUUCUAUUCCUACCUGUGUUGAAUUCAAUGACUAUUGUCUAUACAAAUCAUGAAAGAAUCGAUACUGAGAAAAUGAACAAAAAAGAUGGAUGAAAUUCAUAUAUCCUCAAACUAAUUACUAUGACAUAAAUCAUAAUCGUUCACUUUUUGAAUUGCUUAUUAGUUUUCAUCAUUUAUGGUGUGGAUUCAUAUUGAUAAAUAUAUAUUGCACCAAGUAAUACAAGGACGCAUGAUGUGAGGGAGGAUUGGGAUCUAAUCAAUGGCCUUUGAAUCAAUUCCAAACACCUAUUUUUCUUUAAUUUCAAGGCUACAUAAUUGACUGAUCCAUCUUCAGUUACUUCAAGUCAAUAUCAAAUGAAUUGGGUUUCAUUGUUAACCAUUUUAAGUGGUCCAUAUUGUCUGUUCAUAAAGGAUCAACCUCCUUAAAACCUCUUAUGGUCCCUUAAGGACCUGCAAAAGAGAAGACGGGUUAGAGGAAGAGUUUAACUCGGGAUCCUACAAGCUAACAUUUCAACAAACACUUGAUAAGCACUGUAAAUUAUAAAUAUAUUCGUAAGCCCUAAACGAUCACGCAACAAAUAAUCCAAGGUGAUUCGCUGUGACCAAAAAUCUCCACAAGUGCACAUAUGACACUAUUGUGGAACAAGGCAACAAACCAACUGUAGACAAUACCCAAAAGCCCAUCUAGCCAUGUAUCACUCGAGUAGCUCCAGGGUACUGUGUUGGCUAACACUCCGCACCACUCUGCAGAGCUAAAAAACCCCCAAGAUGAUUGCCUGAAUGGCUUGUUUUUGGAUAAUUUUGCCUCUACGCUAUAACUGCACAACAUGCAUUUAGAGGACUAAAUCGACCACAAAAUCCAACCAAAAUGGGAUAGUCAAGCCAAGUGUAAGCCCUCUAUAUGUUGUGCAAAACAUAAAUAAAACCAAAAGACAUGAAUAUACACAAACAAUAUAUUGAAUUAUACAUAUUCGUCUAUAACAUUCUCUCCCACUUAUUCUUUUGACGUCCUCGUCGAAGCCUUUGUUGACGCUGCAUCACCUCCUCGUCCUCUUACUCUAUGCCAAGGUCUUCUAACCCCAACUUCACCUCCACAAGUAGAUUUGCAUUAGCUCUCCGUCAAUUGCUUCAUCAAGAUAAAGUGCAUGUGCCUCAAAGCUCCCUUCGACUUUGGGACCAUGUAAGAUGAGUCCGCUUAAUCAGAACGAAGGACUUAUGGAAUGACAUGAUCUCGCUCUUACCUCUGCAAGAGUUCAUAUCUUUGACCUAUGUCCAAGAAAAGCUUCACACCUCCACUCUAUGUUCUAUCAUCUAUGUCGACCCACUUCAUGCAGUUUAGGUACUUCACUAAGUUCCACCUAAGUUACUCCACUCCUUGAUUCACAUUGAGUUGAUGUUGGCUCUCAUGCCCACCAUUCCACAGGUCAACCCUCAAUCGAGUCCGAUCUUUAUAUCGGCUUAGUGUGCCUUCAUUUAUUGUCUAUGAUCGGUCCUCCACUUGAUCUCACAAUGCAUCCACCAACGCAUUACCUCGUGUGAAAUCACGCAAUAACUCCUCACAGCAUGAUUCUCUCUCUGGAGACCCGAGACUCAUCCCUCUUGGAUAUCUGCUUUAUUGAAGCAACUUUUCGCAUCACAACCUCCCUCUAGAAGUUUCGGAGAUCACUAUCUCCUUGGACUACUCUGCCUAGCUAAACAAAUUGUGCACUAUUCCGUCACCACAAACACACUUACUAGAUUGCAACUCUUCACUAAUACAAUCCCCAUCGCGCCCCUCAAGGCCUAGCAACAUGUUGAAAUUACUGCACAUUUCAGCCUCCUACAAAGGUAUCAUUCCUAUGCCAAAGAGAAAGUUUUCAUGCUCUAUAGCGUCGAGUUUCGAUCGCCUUGAGAUGGCCACAGAUAGUCUUUCAUCCACAUACAAGCUCUUGCAUCAUUGCAUGAGUAUCGAAUUCUUUGAGUUAGCAAUUCCCCUCAUCUCUGUAAGCUUUGCACAACUCCUUUAGUCACUGAGCAACCCAUACUUGCUUACACGAUCUCAUCCUUGGCAAGGUGCUCUGCUUGCCUCAGAGCACCGUUAAGUUUGGUUACCAACAUUGAGCCAUAACUUAAACUCAAUCAUCCCAACCUCUGUGUGCUAUGCGUUUUUCCCAACUGGCUUGUCCUCAUGGUGCCUCUCACUUGAAGGGUUGCCCAGUCCUUUGAAUGUCAAUCUCAAAUCGCUCCUUUCCCUGCAUCUCUAUGUAUGUUCCCCUCAAACAGUCGCCCGUGCUAGCUAUCCUCAACGGAGUCCCACUAGAUCCCCCAUAUUUGCAUGCAAGUGUUUUUAAAUGUGUUUGUCCUGUUCUGAUACUAUAUACCACGGGCUUAGCUAGUUUUGCCCAAGUCAUAUGGCACCCUUGUGUGCUCGUUCGCAAAAGGUCAAUCUCCUUGAAACCUCUUAUGAUCUCUAAAAGACCUGUAAAAGAGAAGAUAGGUCAGAGGAAGCGUUUAACUUGAGACCCUGCAAGUAGACAUUUCAACAAACACUUGAUAAGCAACGCAAAUCAUAAAUAUAGCCAUCAUAAGCUCUAUAACAAUCGUGCAAUAAAGGGCCCAAGGUGGUUUAUCGCGAUCAGAAAUCCCCACAAGUGCACACAUGACACUACUGUAGAACAAGACAACGAACUAGCCCUAGAAAAUACCCCAAAUGUGCCACUUGAGUAGCUCCACAGUACUAUGUUGGUUGACACUCCACACCACUUUAUGGAGCUAAAAAACCCCUAAAAUUACUAUAUAUAUAGCCUACUUUUGGUAGUUUUACCACGACGCGACGACUGUACAUAACAUGUAUUUACAGGACUAAAAUAGCUACAAAAACCAACCAAAAUGGGAGUGUCAAGCCUACUACAAGUCCUUCAUAUGCUGUGCAAAACAUGAACAAAACUGAAAGACAUGAACACAUACAAAUAUUACAACAAACACCCUUUGUACAUAUUUGUCCGUGACAAUAUGGUUGAUUAAGAAGCAACAUAGGCAAAAUUAUCAUGAAAUAGAAAAUUCAGAUAUUGCAUGCCUUCAUCACUUUAGUCUCUUCCAACUUACUCUUAUAUCAUUCUUUACUAAUUUCAUUGGCUUCUGUAUAUAAUGACGACAUUCAUCAUGCUGCUACGUAUUAGCCACGUGAAACUGUGCCAAGAGAAAAAUGAAAUACUAGAAUAACUGCCCUAAUAUAGAUUUCACUUUGAAGUAAACAAGCGAAUGCCGCAGCAGUAAUAGCAAAACUGUUUAGUGACAAAGAUUAGCAUUAUUUCAUGCAUUGUAAAACAACAAUAUUUUACCUAAUAAUUUUUACUUUCCAUUAUUUAUACCAGUAGUUCCUCAUAACUACUAGAAAGAUGAUAAAUACCAAUAAUGUACAAUCAAAAGAAAGCCACUCAUGAUUCAUCUCAAGGAAACAACAUGCACAAUUUUACAACAAGUCAGCAAGAUAUUUUAAACCAGACCUG